GUGGGCACUGGCAGAUGGCUCAGGGGCGUGCUCCCCAGCCAUGUAAAAGAGUGGGGGUUGACAAGCAGGCUGAGAGAAAAGGUAGCCCUUUUAAGUAGGUUCAGGACCAACAUGAAUGUGGUUGGUCAAUUAUUUAACACGAGACAAUGGAAAUAAACUAAGUGGAAAGAUCACGCAGGUCUCCCUGCCUGUGGGAAUCCUGGUGGUUGUGAUUAUGAGAUCUUAGCCCUUGUCCUCCUUGGCAGCCCAAGUCCUGGGUCAGAGAUGAAGAAUCUACUAGAGACACAGGCCAAUAAAUCACAGGUAAGUUAGAUAAGCAGGUAAUUUUUAAAAACUGAUUUCACAGACUGAGUGUAAAGGAGAGAUACUGGGAAAGUCUGUUCUUUCCUUUUAGAGAGGAGGAGCCUGGGUCCGUCACGGAAGCUUUCUCAGCUUUUCUGGUGGCAGAGAUGAGACAAGCGCCCAGGCCUCCAGGACUCCUAUUGGCCCCCAUCAAUCAUUUGAUCCGAGCGUCACACACAGAACAACAAAGAGUUAGGAGAGCUCCCGACACCCAGAAAGCAGCAUCCCUAAUGAAAAGAAACACACCCUGUCCACUUUCCCUUCACCUUGACCUGCAGACGGCCUGCAUAACCAUUUUUGCCUUGAAAUAUUUCUUUAGAAUUGCGAACUUGAAGGUAUAGAGAAGUGAGAAGAAUUUAGAGCUGGAAGUUCUAGAACAUCUCAUUCCUUGGCCUCCUUUAUAGAUGAGCGAAAAGAGGACUGCUUCUCCUAGGAACCUUGGAAUGCAGAUUCUGGUUCAGGAGGUCUGGGGAGGGGCGUGGCAGUCUGCAUUUCUACCAAGCCCCCAGAGGAUGCUGACCCACAGACCACUCAUUUGAGUAUCAAGGAAGUAGACCAAGUGGCUAGCUACAGCUUACACAGCUAGUUGAUGGAGCCUGGACAAGCGGGUACUGCCCUCCCUUCUGCAGAGGAAGAAUUCAGGCUUCCAGCAGCCAAGGGCUUGCUUGCGUGCGGCUGUGUCAGGACUGCAAUUCAAGCCCCUAGUUUCUUGUUCAGGGCUUUCUUCACUCCACGAAGACCAUCAUUCUAACAUCCUACAAAUGUCCGGUGCAAAUGUCUGUGUGAAAUAUAUGCUCUUUUCUGUCUGUUUACUUCAGACUCUGGGGAGAGAUCGGAGAGACAUUAGUAACUUCUUUUUUCUUUCCUCAAGUCCCUGUGACGAAAUGACUGUUUCUGCAGUGCUUGUUUUCUGGGCCCUGGAAAGAUUCCAAAGCUGUCACUGUGUUUUCCAUCUGGCACUUUUUCAAGAAUCUCUCUGCUGCUUCCUGCAGCCUGGAGGUCGUCCUGCAGAGGCCCCUCUACCACCCCUGACAGGCUGGUGGGGCAGGACAUAGGCAUCACGGAGCUGUGCAAUAGGCAGGAACAGCUUGACGAGGGGGCGGGCGCCCCAUUGCGUGCAAACUCACUCCAAGACGGGGAAGCGGCCCCCAGAGACAUGGUUUUCAAAAGUAGAAAACUACCUGCUAAUUUGUUACGGAAACUUUAAGUAUUGAAUGAAUCUAGUGAUUUUUUAAAAUAUAAUUCAACCUAUGGGAAAAAAUCCAGCUUGACUUUCUUGAAACACUCACGGGUCACACUAUUUGGAAAGCAACACUGAAAAGAAACUUUGGAACUUCCAAGGGAAUGUGGAUGGUGAGUGAGCCUCUGCAUUACAGAGUUUGAGCCGUCCCACCUCCCCAAGAACGCUCAGGACCUCAAAGACCCAGCCAGAAAAGACCAAAGAGAUGAUGGAAGUCACAGCUUUGCAGAAACUUCAGAAAAUUUGUGUUUACAAAAGGGUUUGCAAUAAAAGCUGCUGCUCACGUUUUCCUUCUGAAAUAGGUCAAGGAAGUGAAACUCUGGAAGGUAACUCACAGGUGCAGGAUUCCUCUGGACCUGUAAGAAGCUGACGGGCAUUGUGGCCACCGUACGAUGGCGUAGGGGACCUGGCAUUUCCCAGGUGUGGAUGUUUUUGAGCUGUUAUGUUUUGCCUGGGUUUCCCAGAAAUCAGGGCCUAAGCAAAGGCUUAAGUGCAAGCUUUCCACUGGGGAUUAUUAUCCAGGGAGCCAGUGUGAAGGGCAGGGCCUGCCACAGACAGAUGGAGAGGCAGUGCCCAGGGUGUCCUGGAUCUGGUGGCCUGAUCCCAGGGGGUGGCUCCAAGAGCUGGGUGAAGGGUAUCUGGGAGCACUGCUCUAGGAGAAAGAAGGGGGCAGCAGCUGUCCACUGGCUCCUCCACAAGCCUGUGGGGCCUCACCUUCCACGCAGGCUUUGCACAUCUAAGCACCUAGCAGGGCCCCACCAUGUCCCUCACCUUUGUGUAAGUGCCAUGUCAGCACCUGCAGGAAGUUGGUGAGAGCCUGCACAGAAGCGGUCACACCAUAGUCACUGGCGUAGGGGACAGCUGAGGGGGAGAGAACGUGCAGCUGUGGUGAGAGGAGUCUGCUACGCCCCCGACCUGUCAGUUCAGGGCUCAUCCCAUGAAAUAAGGGCUCCUGGGAGGAUCUCUGAGAAACCCGCUUCAUGAUUAAAUUGCCACGAUGCCUCAUUUCAUUACAAACGUGCUUUGAUCCUGCUUAUGCAGGGUUACCGCACACUCGCUCAGUUCUCCACCCAGGAGUCACUGUCAAUAGUCUGUUUGACAAAAUACAUUACUAUGGCUUUUUAAACUUUAAGUCGGGAGAAAGUUCAUUCUUGAAAGAGCUAUUUAUACACACUGGAAAGCACAUUCCUGGAGCUGAUUUAAUUUUAACUUUAUUUGUGUCGUCGUAUCUGCUGACUGCACGCUAUGACAACUGGAAGAUUUCUUCAGGUAUGCGAUACUUCCUGCUCAUUCAGCCAAUGUGGUAAAUACCAUCUGACCAAUAGCAAAGGGAAAAAGAGUACACAGCAGCUUCUUCUCUAGCUCAUCGGGAGGAAAAGAGCAAAGAGGAAGGAAAAGAAAGAGCAUGGCCUGGUCCAAAUUUUGGGACAGUUACAUUAAACAAAAGGAUCAGAAAAUGGAAAUGUAUUCCUUUGAAAUGACUGUAAUCGGCUGAAUGUUGAGGCUGGGAGCAGAGUAAUGAUGGAGAACAAGGUGGAUGAGAGUGUUAAUUUUCUCUGAUGAUGAAGGGUAUAUGGUCACACUUACAAGAGGAGAUGCAGACAUCACAGAGGAGCUGAUUUUCAAGAGACCCACUCUGCUUGCUGGGGUCCAUUUUCCGGAUGGUUGGUUGGCAUGGAGGAGGCAGGAAUCACAGUGAGCCCACGUCCUCUCCAAGGCAGGCACGCAGGAGACGUGUGAUCCAAGCAAAGCCAGCAAAGUAAGAACUAUAGAGAAACCCCAAGAUGGCAACAUCAGUUCAAUCCGGCUUUGGUGUUGCUGUCAAUGAAACAAGCUAGGAUCACAGGCAUAGAGAGGGGAGGAGGCAGAAGGGGCUGGUGGGGAAUGGGUCAAAGCUGUGCAGGCCCAAGUUGGGGAAAAAGCCUAUUCUUUUUAAAACUUCAGAAAUGUUCUUUUGGAAGCAGGAUAGUAAAAGGAAAAGAACCUAGACUUUGCAGCCAGUUGACUUAAACCCAAUUUCUGGAUCCUUUGCUUGUGAGCUAUGUGGUCUUGGGACGGUCAUUUGGCUUCUCUGCCUCAGGUUUCUGAUCUAUAAAGUGGAAAGAAUGACAUAUGUCUGUUAGUAGCAAAUAACACCCUAUUCAACCUGUUUAAACAUACAGGAAUACUUCUAGGCAAGGUGGCUCUGGGCAUUCCUCCAAACGCUUCUGAAAAAUAGAUGAGAAAAAAUCAUAGUUGAGGCUCAAAAACCACCUAAAUAGGGGCCGGCCCAGUGGC